GGCUGCUCUGAUAGUAGCAGGUUAUCAGAACUUAUUAACAUUGCUGUCAAUAAAGUUGGUAUACAACCCCCCACUGCUAAAUUUGACUGGAAAG
rnacentral:Y_RNA from 1 species